rnacentral:rRNA from 1 species
AUUGAACGCUGGCGGCAUGCUUUACACAUGCAAGUCGAACGGUAACAGGCCUUCGGGUGCUGACGAGUGGCGAACGGGUGAGUAAUGCAUCGGAACGUACCGUGUAAUGGGGGAUAACGUAGCGAAAGUUACGCUAAUACCGCAUACGCCCUGAGGGGGAAAGCGGGGGAUCGUAAGACCUCGCGUUAUACGAGCGGCCGAUGUCGGAUUAGCUAGUUGGUGGGGUAAAGGCCUACCAAGGCGACGAUCCGUAGCGGGUCUGAGAGGAUGAUCCGCCACACUGGGACUGAGACACGGUCCAGACUCCUACGGGAGGCAGCAGUGGGGAAUUUUGGACAAUGGGCGAAAGCCUGAUCCAGCCAUACCGCGUGAGUGAAGAAGGCCUUCGGGUUGUAAAGCUCUUUCAGCCGGAAAGAAAUUGCCUCUAUUAAUACUGGAGGUAGAUGACGGUACCGGAAGAAGAAGCACCGGCUAACUACGUGCCAGCAGCCGCGGUAAUAC